rnacentral:misc_RNA from 1 species
GAAAUGCGAUACGUAAUGUGAAUUGCAGAAUUCAGUGAAUCAUCAAAUCCUUGAACGCAACUUGCGCUCGCAAGUCCACUUGCGAGCAUGCCUGUUUGAGUAUCGGUUUACAAUCCUCACACAUUGUGUGUGUGUGCUUUUUUGCAUAUCGAUGUGUGGAAUUUUGAUUGGAAGUUGGUUGCGUGUGUGUGUGUGUUUACACCAUGCGACCAUCUACCGAAGCAGUGGUGUGAGAGGCAAGCUUACCCAACCAGUACAACUUCAUUGUUGUAUUGGGCAAGCAUCUCUUGGCAAGGCAAAUCAGAACGCUUCUGUGUUUUCGAUUUUCGCUGACAACAAGACUUGUUUGCUUGUGUUGGGUUGUGUGUGGCUGCAGAGGUGUGCGCCUUGGUGCACACGUUCUCUGUGCCGCUUUGCCGUUCUUUGCACGUGCAGCAUUGUGCGUGUGUUGUUUCACGCGACACACGUACAAAAACCAAUUUCAAACAUCGAUCUCAAAUCAGGCAAGGCUACCCGCUGAAUUUAAGC